rnacentral:rRNA from 1 species
CUGCAGAAGAAGCGCCGGCUAACUACGUGCCAGCAGCCGCGGUAAUACGUAGGGCGCAAGCGUUAUCCGGAAUUAUUGGGCGUAAAGAGCUCGUAGGCGGUUUGUCGCGUCUAUCGUGAAAGUCCGAGGCUCAACCUCGGAUCUGCGGUGGGUACGGGCAGACUAGAGUGAUGUAGGGGAGACUGGAAUUCCUGGUGUAGCGGUGAAAUGCGCAGAUAUCAGGAGGAACACCGAUGGCGAAGGCAGGUCUCUGGGCAUUAACUGACGCUGAGGAGCGAAAGCAUGGGGAGCGAACAGGAUUAGAUACCCUGGUAGUCCAUGCCGUAAACGUUGGGCACUAGGUGUGGGGGACAUUCCACGUUUUCCGCGCCGUAGCUAACGCAUUAAGUGCCCCGCCUGGGGAGUACGGCCGCAAGGCUAAAACUCAAAGGAAUUGACGGGGGCCCGCACAAGCGGCGGAGCAUGCGGAUUAAUUCGAU